GUGGACUCCUCUUCAGAAAAUGGAAAGAGGGGAAGAAGACACAAGGACCUGGAGAAGCCACGUAGGACGCAUUGGAUUCAAGCUCGAAGGCCCCGGUGAUUCCACGAAGCUCCAUCAACGAGACCAAGCUACACCAGCUCUCGCUCGAGUCCUUACAUCAUAUCAAGCCCGAAGGCCCCAGUGAUUCCACGAAGCUCCAUCGACAAGACCAAGCUAUGCAACCCUUGCUCGAGACCUCGCAUCGGAUUCAAGCCCAAAGGUCCCGUUGUAAACAAUCAUCAUUUGACGAGAACAAGCUACAAAGCCUCGUUUGACAUCCUACAAGUAUUUUAGCGUUUACGGUGGGACAUCUCUAUUUCUCUUCUCUCUUUCACAAAGCUGAGUCUUGAAGCUAAGAUGGCCUCGAGGAAGGUCGUCCUGGACCCAAGGACGUGGCUCGCUCUGAUGAUGCUGCUUCUGAUUCGAACUUGGAGAAACCACCAAGAAUGUAUACUAGGAGCCAUGCCAAAGGAAUGGCGACACAAGGGUUUAGAAAACAUUUUCUAAGUAGGAACCACCCAAAUGUAAAUAUUUUCGUUUCAUGAUAAUAUCGUUUUUCUGCA